rnacentral:rRNA from 1 species
AUACGGAGGGUGCAAACGUUAAUCGGAAUUACUGGGCGUAAAGCGCGCGUAGGUGGUUUAGUAAGUCGGAUGUGAAAGCCCUGGGCUCAACCUGGGAAUUGCAUUCGAUACUGCUUGACUAGAGUAUGGUAGAGGGAAGUGGAAUUUCCGGUGUAGCGGUGAAAUGCGUAGAUAUCGGAAGGAACACCAGUGGCGAAGGCGACUUCCUGGGCCAAUACUGACGCUGAGGUGCGAAAGCGUGGGGAGCAAACAGGAUUAGAAACCCCAGUAGUCC